CCCACAGUGGGCUGUGUGCAAUGGUUUCGAUGACUGCAGGGACAACAGUGAUGAACAAGGCUGUGAGGAGAGGACGUGCAAACCUUCGGGAGAGUUCCGCUGUAAUAACCAUCACUGCAUCCCUCUUCGCUGGAGAUGUGACAAGCACAAUGACUGUGGAGAUAACUCAGAUGAGGAAAACUGCGUCCCCCGGGAGUGCUCAGAAAGUGAAUUUCGAUGUGAUGAUCAAAGCUGCAUCCCCUCUCGCUGGGUCUGUGACCAUACCAAUGACUGUGGAGACAACUCAGAUGAGCGAGACUGUGGUAACUGUCAGAGCUCUUUGGGAGGCUUACCGCGGGGUGUAGUGCUAGGGUCAGCAUUGUUGACAAAAGUAGAGACUUCAAAUGAAGGUUUAUGUGGUUUUUCAGGGUAAAACAAUUGUGUAGUUUAUGUAAUAAAUAAACCUUAGCAUCACACAGUACCUCCUUCUUUGCAUUUUCUAUGCUUUAUUCUUUUUUUUUAAUGUCU
rnacentral:lncRNA from 1 species